rnacentral:rRNA from 1 species
UACGUAGGGUGCAAGCGUUAUCCGGAUUUACUGGGUUUAAAGGGUGCGUAGGCGGCUUUUUAAGUCAAUAGCUAAAGAUCGAUGCUCAACAUCGGGGGUGCUUUUGAAACUGAAAAGCUAGAGUUAAGAAAAAGUAAGCGGAAUUUGUGGUGUAGCGGUGAAAUGCUUAGAUAUCAUAAGGAACUCCAAUAGCGUAGGCAGCUUGCUGUUCUUAUACUGACGCUGAGGCACGAAAGGCGGUUAAGCAAACAGG